CCGUGUGGAAACUGACUACCGUACACAACAUGCUAGCUGAUAGCUAGUUGAUUUUGUCCGGCUAGUGAAGGUGGUGGGGGUGUCUGAUACAUAAUAUCAUGCUGAUGAUCAACACAAGUUAAAAGUUACUUCAACAAGUUAAAAGCACCACCAACACAAUAUCUUUCAGUCAAUGGAGUACGGACCGAGUAGUUCCAGCACUGUUACUGCUCAGAGGACCUGAGCCCUAGGACCAUGCCUCAGGACUAGCUGGCCUGAUGACUCCUGGCUGUCCCCAGUCCACCUGGUCAUGCUGCUGCUCUAGUUUUAACUGUUCUGCCUGCGGCUAUGGAACCCUGACCUGUUCACCGGACGUGCUACCUUGUUCUGGUCUCUCUCUCGCUCUCUCGCUCUCUCGCUCUCUCUCACACUGGAAUGUGAGAUGUAAUGUACACCUUGAUUAGGGUAAUAAAAAUAUAAUUUCUAUAUAGCCUACACUUUCUUGUUCUGAACUUAACGGGUGGGGCAGGUGUGGCUUCGUAACGUUGAUCGCAAGAGCCGCUACUGAUUUGAUGGCUCCAGCAACAUUCCACCCCCGAAACUGCCUAAACAUCCGCUAUGCUCAGUUCUGCUAUCGCCGACUAACACUUGAUCUGAUUGAAUCUAGGCCUUGUGUGCAGUUAAGAACCAUUUAUAUUUAGUAACUUGUGUGCAAUUAGUGCUUUCAGAAAGUAUUCAGACCCUUGAUUGGAGUCCACCUGUGGUAAAUUCAAAUGAUUGGACUUUAUUUUUAAAGGCACACACCUGUCUAUAUAAGGUCCCACAGUUGACAAGCCAUGAGGUCAAAGGAAUUGUUUGUAGAGCUCUGAGGCAGGAUUGUGUCGGCACAGAUCUCGGGAAGGGUACCAACAGCAAACAAAUCCGCAGAAUUGAAGGUCCCCAAGAACACAGUGACCUUAAAUUCUUAAAUGGAAGAAGUUUAGAACCACCAAGACGCUUCCUAGAGCUGGCCGCUCGGCCAAACUGAGCAAUCGGGGGAGAAGGGCCUUGGUCAGGGAGAUGCCAAGAACCUGAUGGUCACUCUGACAGAGCUCCGCUGUGGAGAUGGGAGAAUCUUCCAGGAGGACAAGCAUCUCUGCAGCACUCCACCAAUCAGGACUUUAUGGUAGAGUGGACAGACAGAAGCCACUACUCAGUAAAAGGCAUGACAGCCUGCUUAGAGUUUGCCAAAAGCCACCUAAAGGACUCUCAGACCAUGAGAAACAAGAUUCUCUAGUCUGAUGAAACCAAGAUUCAACUCUUUGGCCUGAAUGCCAAGCCAACUCUUUGGCCUGAAUGCCAAGCGUCACAUCUGGAAACCUGGUACCAUCCCUAGAGUGAAGCAUGGUGGUGGCAGCAUCAUGCGGUGGGGAUGUUUUUCAGCGGCAGGGACUGUGAGACUAGUCAGGAUCGAGGGAAUGAUGAAUGGAGCAAAGUACAGAGAGAUCCUUGAUGAAAACCUGCUCCAGAGCGCCCAGGACAGACUGGGGCGAAGGUUAACCUUCUAACAGGACAAUGACCCUAAGCACACAGCUAAGAGAACGCAAGAGUGGCUUUGGGACAAGUCUCAAUGUCCUUGAGUGGCCCAGCAAGAGCCCGAACUUGAACCAGAUCGAACAUCUCUGGAGAGACCUGAAAAUAGCUGUGCAGCGACACUCCCCAUCCAACCUGACCGAGCUUGAGAGGAUCUGCAGAGAAGAAUGGGAGAAACUCCCCAAAUACAGGUGUGCCAAGCUUGUAGCGUCAUACCCAAGAAGACUCGAGGCUGUAAUCACUGCCAAAGGUGCUGCAAAGGUUCUAAAUACUACUGAGUAAAGGUUCUGAAUACUUAUGUAAAUGUGAUUUAAAAAAGCAUUUUUAUAAAAACCUAUUUUUAGUUUGUCAUGGGGUAUUGUGAGUAGAUUGAGGGGAGAGAAUUUAAAAAAAAUCCAUUUUAGAAUAAGGCUGUAACAUAACAAAAUGUGGAAAAAGUCAAGGGGUCUGAAUACACAAUCCUUGUAUAGUCUAUUAUGUACGAUUUUCAUGUUUGAUUCUAUUUCCAUUUAUCUCUUUACUCCUAGAAACCACACACGAAGCCUUUUCCCUGACAUUCUUUUCUGCUUUCUGGACAUCCCCGUGGUCCUUAAAAAUGAAAUAUCAUAUCAUGUGCUCUUUUUUUUUUUUUAAGAGACUUAUGCGAGUAACCUGCUGGGGGGUCUUUGACCCCCUCAAUAAUGUACCAUGAAUUUGAUUGAUUCUAAAUUCUUUCCCCACUGUAAAGCGCCAGGCAGCUACUGGCUUUCUUUACACUGCACAGUGCUACUAAAUUCCUCAUUUUAUGUUUGCACCCCCAAUUAUGCUUUGUUUGGGCCCAGUCCUGCGGCAGGAGUUCCUCUUGUGUGAAAGGAAAAAAAGUUGAGCAAGGCUUAUAAGGAGAGCAGAUGGGCAAUAUGUCCUCUAGACCUUUUGUGACGGUAAUGACAAAUGGUAUGCCAACAAUGUCCUCAUCACCUCAUUUUGAUAAAGUAUUCUGUAACGAGUAUAAUAAUAUUGUAUUGUGGCUCGUCGAGGAAUGCUCUACUCCGUUCCCUUAACUCCACCUCAACAGUAUAUAAGUAUCGAUAACUGGUCACGCAAUUUGCUAGCAACAACAUUGAGUCAACACUCGCCAUCAAUCGAUACUUGUAAAAUGUCAAUUCUGAAAAUGCUUACCUGUACAUCUGUGGUCCUUCUGCGUGGUGCUGAAAUUCACGCUUUUAAAUAAAAACUAAUAUUGAAUACAACCGACUUUUUCCCCCCCUCAGCUCCGCGUGAAUGCGGUAUUUCUGCUUAAGUAACGUAAACUCACCCCAUUCCGUACAAAUAUGCGUGACUGCGACAUUCAAACGAGGCUACAAAGAAAACUAAUGCGACUGUGUUGACUUAAAUCGGGGGUGUGAACUAGGUUUCUAUUCAAGCUUUGAUCGACAUGGUAAUGGCUCUAUAGUAUUGGAGAAAAGUUGAAAAAAACUGACCCUCCGUUACAUCUUGACGUGUCAUGUCGUAACGUACAGCACGCAUAAAGCAACUAUUUCUGUCUUACAAUCUCUCUCCACGAGGUGUAGCACUUCUCUCAUCGUUUAAAAACAAAUGGACAGUGACGGGGGUAAGGGGGGAUACCCAGUCAUUUUUUUCGUCAUCAUUGCAUGCGAUCAUCAUUCUCAAAGCCGCUGUAUACUUCUAAGAUCACUUUAGCACCGCCCUAAAAACCCGAUUUCAAAUUCGACACAAAGCUUCAAAUAGGUAUGUAAUGACACAUUAUAUAAACUCUUUAUAGUGUUUUAUUUACAUUUUAGAGGCGAUAAGGUGAUAAGUUGGACAGAUUGAGUGAAAAAAGCAAUUUUCCCACACGACAUCUGUCCUUCUCACUAUAACGCAUUAGUUUCGCUUCCCCACCCGCCAUUUUUAAAAAGACCUGAAGGAGCUCAUUGCCUUCUUGAAUUAUGCAGAAACGGGCAGCGUGAAGGUCUCGGCAUGAAUUCUGUUGGAAAGGGGAGAAAUUGUGCUUUACAAUGGUAUUGGAAUUACAGUUGAUCUGGAAGUAUUACGUUUUGGGGGCACUAAAAUAAGGUAAACUGUACGGACCAAGGCGAUGUACGAGUUUACGUGAGUUUACGUUAGUAUGUCAAGGCUGCUACCUCUCCAGUUGAGCUACACAAAUAAGGAAAGAAUUGGUUGUAUUUGAUAAAAGUUUUUAUUAAGAGUAUAACUUUCAGCACCCCGCGUAAGGACCACAGUCUUACAGGACAAAUAUAGGUACAGGUAAGCAUUUUCAGAAAUAAUAUUUGACUGACGGUAGCUCAAUGUUUUUGCUAGCAAAUCGGGCAACCAGUUAUCAAUACUGAACUCCGCCUCGAUAUAAGAGAACAGAGUUGAGCAUUCCUCAGCUAUUUUGUGGCCUAUGUAUACUGUAGUUGCCUUGUUUUGUGGAAUCUUCAAUCGUGCCAGAUAGGUUAGGCCUUCUGUUUCAGCACGAGUAGUCGUCAUGUUGUUGUCUUAAUUUGUCAUGUCCAAUUAGACAAUUGAAGUAUACUCACUAGCCAGUUUAUUAGGUACACCAACCCAUUCAUGAAAAUGGAUUGCUCCUACACGUAGGCACGUAGCCUUGGCUUGUUAUAUAAAGCAGACCGAUAGGUGUCAAGGCAUUCCGUUACUGUUUGGUUGAACGUUAGAAUGGGUAAAACGAGUGACCUAUGCGACUUUGAACGUGUUAUGAUCGCUGAUGCUAGGUGCGCCGGAUCCAGUAUCUCAAAAACAGCCACCCUCCUGAGCUUUUCACGUACGACAGUGUCUAGGGUUUACAAAGAAAGUGUGACAAUCAAAAAAACUACCAGUCAAGUGGCAGUCCUGUGGGCGAAAACAGCUUGUUGAUGAGAGAGGUCGAAGGACAAGGGCAAGAAUCGUGCAAGCUAACAGGCGUGCCACAGACAAAUAACAGUGCAGUACAGAACGGCAUCUCGGAAUGCACAACUCGUCGAUCCUUGUCACGGAUGGGCUAUUGCAGAAGACGACCACACCGGGUUCCACUCCUAUCAGCUAAGAAUAAAAAGAAGAAGCGGCUCCAGUGGGCACCGGAUCACCAACAAAAAAACAUUGCCUGGUACAUUACAGCGAGUUCAGUUCAUUUCAGUGGCCUGCGAAGUCCCCAGACCUCAACCCAAUUGUGCAUCUUUGGAAUGAGAUGAAACGGGAUGUUCGCAGCAUGAAUGUACUACCGACCGAUCUGCAGCAACUGCGCAAUGCCAACGCGUCAGCAUGGACCAACAUUCGUGUGGAACAUUUACGACACCUUGUAGAAUGCUCCGACCCAGUACUAGAUGGGUGUACCUAAUAAACGAAACUGGCUGCUAAAAUCUACAAAAAAUAAGCAAUUUUCUUUACUUUCAGAGUGCGAGCUAAUCAAGGGGUUGAAAAUGUAGAUUUUGUCAGAUGUAUGUUCACUGUCCGGGGAGCAGAAAAUGGAAGCUUUAUUGCUGGCAAGUGUCCAUAACCAGAGGUAAACUGUUCUGUGUUAUUUCUCUCUUUUCUUCUCUGCCUGUCUUGUUGUACGUGGAACCUGUCUCACAUGCAUUAAUUUAAAAAUCCUUAAGAUAUCAGCUGCUAAUUUUAAGAUUUACACCACAAACUCAGCCAUUUUUCACUGGACUAUCAAGCCCGUUGCUGCCAAAUGUAUCGUCACUAAUACAGAUUUCUUUCUUUUGAGCAUUCCAGAAUCAGCAGGUGGAGGACCUGCGUUAUCAAGAGGAUAAUCUGGAAACACUGACAAUGGGGUUAUUGUUCCUGACAUCCCAUGCCCCCUGUCUACUGAGAAUCUUGCUGUGCUGCAAUGUCAAAUGAACCCUACUACUGACUCCUCAUCUUUUGGUCAGGACAUGCACAUACAUGCUCUUCAAUUAGUUAUGAGUCUCCAGCCUUUUUAGGUGCAGUCCUCCCACACUAUGUAGGAUAUUGUUUUAGCUCCAGUGCCACUCUUGAUAAUGGCAAACAUUUGUAUUUUUUGGAGGAGAAUGAAAGGAUAGCAGGCCCAGGUGUCAAAGUGAGAGAGUAGGCUAUUCUGGAUAGAGCAGGUACUUGUGUAGUCUAUAUUUGUGUAGUCUAUUUGUGAGGUUCUGUCCUCAGAUACAGAGAGCUGUGAAAGCCUGUCUGCAGAUUAAGAGGGCCCAAUGAAGAGCAACAGUUCUCAGUCCUGUUCCUGGGGACUCAAAGGGGUCUAUCUAAUGUUAUCAUGAUUUGUUAUAAGGGAUAUUACAAUUAUACUAUACAGGAAGUAUUAUUAAAGAUAUGCUUUACAUUGAAAUACAGAUAGAGAUGUAGUAGUCCCAGAGUUAAUGAUCCAAGGUCAGUUUCGCAUUUCACUUCCUGAUGAUUAUGAUGACUGACUGUUAGAAUUUUAAAAAAAAGUGAUCAUGCUCUCUCUCUAUCCAUCUGUCUCUCGUCUGCAGGUAUGUUUUGAUGUGAGAGAGGAAACCAGUCCCGUCAUUGCCACCUCACCCGCUCUUAAGAUAACCUUCGGGCUGACUGGGAGCCCAAGGCUGGUUAGGAGACACCACUAGAGACACUAUGUAAUUGUUAUGAACUGAGAGAAUAUUAGGGUAACACUGUAAUUCAUUAAAACUUCUCUAGAGUACGUUAGACGGUAGCAUCCCACCUCUUCAACAGCCAGUGAAACUGCAGGGCGCCAAAUUCAAAUACAGAAAUACUCAUUAUAAAAAUUCCGAAAACAAAACAUAUUUUACAUAGGUUUAAAGACUAACUUCUUGUGAAUCCAACCACGGUGUCAGAUUUAAAAAAUGCUUUAUGGCGAAAGCAUACCUUACGAUUAUUUGAGAACCUGGCCCAGCAGACAAAUCAUUACAAACUAACCAGCCAAGUAGAAGAGUUACACAAGUCCGAAAUAGAGAUAAAAUGAAUCCCUUACCUUUGAUGAUCUUCAUAUGGUUGCACUCAGCAGACAUUCAUUUACUCAAUAAAUGUUCCUUUUGUUCGAUAAAGUCUCUUUAUAUCCAAAAUGCUCCGUUUUGUUUGCGCGUUUUCUUCAGUAAUCCACAGGCUCAAACGCAGUCAAAACAGGCAGACAAACAAUCCAAAUUGUAUCCGUAAAGUUCAUAGAAACAUGUCAAACGACGUUUAUAUUCAAUCCUCAGGUUGUUUUUAGCCUAAAUAAUCGAUAAUAUUUCAACCGGACAAUAACGUCGUCAAUAUAAAAAGUAAACAAGAAAGGUACUCUCUCGGUCGCGCGCAUGAAAAAGCUCUGUGACACUUUAGGGUCCACUCAUUCCGACUGCUCUUACUUCCUCAUUUUUCAAAAUACAAGCCUGAAACAAUUUCUAAAGACUGUUGACAUCUAGUGGUAGGCAUAGGAACUGCAAUUUGAGUCCUAAGUCAAUGGAUACUGUAAUGGCAUUGAAUAGAAAACUACAAAAACAAAAAACUACUUCCUGAAUGUAUUUUUCUCAGGUUUUUGCCUGCCAAAUCAGUUCUGUUAUACUCACAGACACUCUUUUAACAGUUUUGGAAACUUUAGAGUGUUUUCUAUCCAGAUCUACCAGUUAUAUGCAAAUCAUAUCUCCAGGGCCCGAGUAGCAAGCAGUUUAAUUUGAGCAUGCUUUUCAUCCAAAAUUCCGAAUGCUGCCCCCUACCCUAGAGAAGUUAAUCAUAUGCUGUCUUCCCUGCUCCUCUGUUUUACCUCUCCUUUUCUGUCUUCUACACCUCACUACCCACCUCUUCUUUCUUUAUAAUGCACACCAUAUGUGCAUUGAAGUACAGAUUGAACUUGUAUUUAUAAUAUAAUAUUACAAUUAUUUAUAAUGCAUGUAUUAUGUAUUUAUAACACCUGGAUAAUGAACUUUCAAUAAAGUGUCUCACAUUCUCCA